rnacentral:rRNA from 1 species
UACCAGCACCCCGAGUGGUCGGGACGAUUAUUGGGCCUAAAGCAUCCGUAGCCGGUCCCACAAGUCCUCCGUUAAAUCCAACUGCUUAACAGAUGGGCCGCGGAGGAUACUAUGGGGCUAGGAGGCAGGAGAGGCAAGCGGUACUCAGUGGGUAGGGGUAAAAUCCGUUGAUCCACUGAAGACCACCAGUGGCGAAGGCGGCUUGCCAGAAUGCGCUCGACGGUGAGGAUGAAAGCUGGGGGAGCAAAGCCGGGA